UACGUAGGGUGCGAGCGUUAAUCGGAAUUACUGGGCGUAAAGCGUGCGCAGGCGGUUCGUUGUGUCUGAUGUGAAAGCCCCGGGCUCAACCUGGGAAUGGCAUUGGAAACUGGCGAGCUAGAGUGUGGCAGAGGGGGUGGAAUUCCGCGUGUAGCAGUGAAAUGCGUAGAGAUGCGGAGGAACACCGAUGGCGAAGGCAGCCCCCUGGGCUGACACUGACGCUCAGGCACGAAAGCGUGGGGAGCAAACAGG
rnacentral:rRNA from 1 species